UGCAGUUUGAUGCACAAUAAAACAAACCAGCAUCCUCCCUUUUAUCCACUCAUUUAUUACAGACCUGUGAGCCUCUGUAGCCUCAGGAGACGAGAACACGUAGAAGACUUUAAGUCUAAGAGUUACCAGUGGUGCACGCAGUCUCGCCAGUCAUCGGCUCUGAGACACUUCCAGCCUGGACUCUGGAAACUGAGGCUGAUUGAAGCUGUUUCUCCUCCUGAGUUUGGAGGCUGACAGAUGGAGAGAGCAGUGGUGUCGGGACAUGACAAAAGAUCGAGGAGCACCAGAGAGGCACCUGAUCCUCAAACUGUUCAUCUCAAAGGUCCGAGAUGCAAAGUUGACCCCGAUCAUUUGCUGGGGAUUCUGGGUAUCGUAGGCACCGUUCUCAACCUGCUGGUGGUGGUGCUGGUGUACAUCUACACCCCAGUGUGAUGUGUGCACGAAGACACGUCGCUUGUUGUAUCCCAGGGAGUCCAGUCCGCUGUCCUGCAGAGGUUCCUCUCCUCCAACACACCUGGUUUGAAUGCAAUGCAUAACUAGAAGAGGUGUUUCAAUGAAUCAGUAGUGUUGGAGCAGAGAAACAAGUCAAAUCCCUGCAAUGAUCUCCUUUUGAAUCAACCUUUGAAGUUAUUUAUGUCUGAAGUUUGUCAGGACUCUUCGCAGACAUUUUCUGUCAUACUGUUUGGAUCCUUCCAAGGGUGUUUACUCCCCUUUUGUUUAAUUACUUGUGAAAAUACAUUUGUAUUUGUAACCAAUAAAUUUAAUGUAUUACUUCA